AAGUCGUAACAAGGUUUCCGUAGGUGAACCUGCGGAAGGAUCAUUAACACGUUUCUCCGAACGUUUUUGACCCAUCUCUAUUUUCCGUGCACCCCUUUCACGUCCGGCCUCCCAGCCGCCCACCGGGUUUACUCGGUGUGUGCCUGUUGGGCGUCUUUUUUGGAGAGAAGAGUUUCGUCUUUCUUCCUUUAAAGGCGUUGCCACCUCACCCAAACCCUUUAAUCUAACUGAUCUGAACUUUAGUUGACACUAGGAGAGGAGAGCAAUCUCUUUUUUUAUUGACAACGACUUUGAACAAACAACAACUCUUAACAACGGAUAUCUUGGUUCUC
rnacentral:misc_RNA from 1 species